rnacentral:rRNA from 1 species
AUUGAACGCUGGCGGCAUGCUUUACACAUGCAAGUCGAACGGUAACAGGGUGCUUGCACCGCUGACGAGUGGCGAACGGGUGAGUAAUGCGUCGGAACGUGCCGAGUAGUGGGGGAUAACGCAGCGAAAGUUGUGCUAAUACCGCAUACGUACUGAGGUAGAAAGUGGGGGACCUUCGGGCCUCACGCUAUUCGAGCGGCCGACGUCUGAUUAGCUAGUAGGUGAGGUAAAGGCUCACCUAGGCGACGAUCAGUAGCAGGUCUGAGAGGAUGACCCGCCCAACUGGGACGGAGACACGGCUCAGACUCCUACGGGAGGCAGAAGUGGGGAAUUUUGGACAAUGGGCGAAAGCCUGAUCCAGCCAUGCCGCGUGUCUGAAGAAGGCCUUCGGGCUGUAAAGGACUUUUGUCAGGGAGGAAAUCCCUAAUGCUAAUAACACUGGGGGAUGACAGUACCUGAAGAAUAAGCACCGGCUAACUACGUGCCAGCCGCCGCCGUAA